CAGAGGGUGCAAGCGUUGUUCGGAAUUACUGGGCGUAAAGCGCGCGCAGGCGGAUCCUGCAAGUCAGAAGUGAAAUCUCACUGCUCAACGGUGGGGCUGCUUUUGAUACUGCGGAUCUGGAGACCGGUAGAGGCUGGUAGAAUUGCAGGUGUAGCGGUGGAAUGCGUAGAGAUCUGCAAGAAUACCCGUGGCGAAGGCGGCCAGCUGGGCCGGUUCUGACGCUGAGGCGCGAAAGCGUGGGGAGCAAACAGGAUUAGAUACCCUGGUAGUCCACGCCGUAAACGAUGGGCACUAGGUGCUGGGGGGAGCGACCCCGUCAGUGCCGCAGCUAACGCGAUAAGUGCCCCGCCUGGGGAGUACGGCCGCAAGGCUG
rnacentral:rRNA from 1 species